UGACCAUUAUGGUAAGCUAGGCUACAAGAUUGACAAAGUUAUGUAUUACAUGGAUCCUCUACAUCACCUCUUGAGGACCCUCCUUCAUCUGAUAUAGCCAACAAAUUUGUUAUUAUCAGUAACUUUCUCAAAUGGUAUGAGAAUUCACAACCUUCUAAUUCCAUUGCUUUUGUACCACGCAUAGGUACAUCUUUUUUUGUUUUGACUCAAUCUUCUUCUCUUGGUUCUUAGGUUCUCUUGGUCUGACUCAAUCCCUUGAGGCUGUUAGGGUUUAUUGUGGUGAGAGGAAGAGGGAUUUUGUUAUAGGAGGAUGUGGAGAGAGAUAGGGGGGG
rnacentral:lncRNA from 1 species